AGGUAGUGACAAUAAAUAACAAUAUAGGGCUCUUUCGGGUCUUAUAAUUGGAAUGGAGUACCAAUUUAAAUCCCUUAACGGAGGAACAAUUGGAGGGCAAGUCUGGUGCCAGCAGGCCCGCGGGUAAAUUCCAGCUCCAAUAGCGUAUAUUAAGUUGUUGCAGUUAAAAAAGCUCGUAGUUUGAACUUUCAGGCUUGGUUGGGCGGUCCGCCUUCACGGUGUGGUACUGGUCUGACUGAGUCUUAACCUCUUGGUGAACCCGGGGUGCCCUUUAUUGGUGGUGC
rnacentral:rRNA from 1 species